CAGAGGGUGCGAGCGUUAAUCGGAAUUACUGGGCGUAAGGCGCGCGUAGGUGGCUAUGCAAGUCGGAUGUGAAAUCCCCGGGCUCAACCUGGGAACUGCAUUCGAGACUGCAUUGCUCGAGUAUGGGAGAGGGAAGUGGAAUUUCCGGUGUAGCGGUGAAAUGCGUAGAUAUCGGAAGGAACAUCAGUGGCGAAAGCGACUUCCUGGACCAAUACUGACACUCAAGUGCGAAAGCGUGGGGAGCAAACAGGAUUAGAUACCCUGGUAGUCCACGCCAUAAACGAUGAGAACUAGAUGUCGGGAGGGUCUGCCUCUCGGUGUCGCAGCUAACGCGUUAAGUUCUCCGCCUGGGGAGUACGGCCGCAAGGUUG
rnacentral:rRNA from 1 species